CUUGAUUUAAUUGAUGCUCUAUUUCGAGAUGAUCGAAGAUGUUUGAUCGCACGUGACUGCAUUUUGAAAUCUCUAUAAAAGAGUUCGGGUGCCACUACCGUGUUUGUGUUUGCUUUGAAAGUGUAUUGUUUCAUCCUGAAAGUGUGCCCUAACAUUCGUAAAUAUUUGACAUUGAGAAAUUGACACUUUACUAAAUUAUCUGUUAAGAUAUUUUUUUGUUAAUUAUUCAUUUUGAGUGUAUAUUCUUUUCCUUGGUUAAAGCAUUACAGUGACCCCGUGUGGGGGAUUUGAGUAGUGUGGUUGAGUGAUAAAUUAUCACCUGUGACUUGUUGAACUACUCAGUUUAAAGCAUUGAAGAUC